ACCGAGCCCCUUCCCGCCGAGGCUCCCGUGGCUUUAAAUAGCAACAGACCCGGCGAAACGUCCGGCAGCUCCCCGGCUCCAGCGGGGGAGGAGAGGGCGACGGCGGAGGCGGGCGGCAAGCGGCUCCGCAGGGACCGUGAGCGGGGCCGGGGCCGGGUUCCGUUCCGUUCCGUCCCGGCGCGGCGCGGCGGCGGAGCAUCCGCGGCAGCGAGCUCCUCACCUCGGGCCGGGGCUCCCCGGGCAGGUCAGAGCGCCCAGCGCAGCCCGGCGGAGGAAGGGGGCGGCCGUGGCGGUGGGGGCUCGCCCUGCCCUGCCCUGCCCCUCCUCGGCCGACCCGCCGGGAGCCCGCGCCGAGCACGGACCCCCGCCCUCCCCCCGGGCUGCAAGGCAGCGACGGGGCAGCCUCCCCCAGCGCGGCUCCUCCCCAAACGCCCACCCGCCCCACGGGCAGAGCCCCUCACCUACCUCCGGGCCCGCGGCCCCGCUCCGCGCCGGCAUCCCCCGAAGGGCUGCAGCAGCCCGGCACCCGCGCCCCGCUCCCCGCGGCUCCUCCCGGCGCUCCAGGGGCCGGCAGCGGGGAGAGGAAUUUGGCAGGAAUUUCUCCCACCAGCGCUCUUCUAUUCGAAGUGCUGCCUAAGAACAGAGAGAGAGAGAGAGACAUCUCCGGCCACCGGUACCGGGAAGAAGCCUCCCCCGAGGCCAAAAAGGGCCGCUAGCCCGGCCGCCUGUUUGCUCGGGGGACUGAACGUUUGCAGAGCCAUAAACUUCUGCGCGCGGGCCACGACGAACAUGCGUUUUAACGACAACUCUUUUGUUGGCGUUUCCACUCGAAAUAGGUUUCCCACCCCACCCUCCAUUGUGCUGCGAGCCUCUGCCGCGGCCCAGGGCGCGCCUGGGGCCGACCCCGGCCGGGCCCCCGGCCCCCCCGGCAGCCGGGCAGGGAAGCCGGGCAGCGCCUCGCCAGCUCCCAAUCCGGCUGAGCCGCCAACAGCACGUGAACCCCCAGACAGCCAGGGAGGGGAGCCUGGGUCAGUCCAGGAGAGAGACGGGGAACAGCGCCAAGGGGCCGUCUGCACAUCACGCAACAGGGCAGCGGAAGGGCUCCGACCUGGGCUAACAUUUAGACACUGA
rnacentral:lncRNA from 1 species